CGCCUACGGGAGGCAGCAGUGAGGAAUAUUGGUCAAUGGGCGGAAGCCUGAACCAGCCAAGUCGCGUGAGGGAAUAAGGCCCUACGGGUCGUAAACCUCUUUUGCCGGGGAACAAGGGCCGGGACGCGUCCCGGCCCGGAGAGUACCCGGAGAAAAAGCAUCGGCUAACUCCGUGCCAGCAGCCGCGGUAAUACGGAGGAUGCGAGCGUUAUCCGGAUUUAUUGGGUUUAAAGGGUGCGUAGGCGGGCUUUUAAGUCAGCGGUAAAAAUUCGGGGCUCAACCCCGUCCGGCCGCUGAAACUGGGG
rnacentral:rRNA from 1 species